GUAGGUGGCAAGCGUUGUCCGGAAUUAUUGGGCGUAGAGCGCGCGCAGGCGGUCCUUUAAGUCUGAUGUGAAAGCCCACGGCUCAACCGUGGAGGGUCAUUGGAAACUGGGGGACUUGAGUACAGAAGAGGAAAGCGGAAUUCCAAGUGUAGCGGUGAAAUGCGUAGAGAUUUGGAGGAACACCAGUGGCGAAGGCGGCUUUCUGGUCUGUAACUGACGCUGAGGCGCGAAAGCGUGGGGAGCAAACAGGGAUUGGAUACCCUGGUAGUCCACGCCGUAAACGAUGAGUGCUAAGUGUUAGGGGGUUUCCCGCCCCUUAGUGCUGCAGCUAACGCAUUAAGCACUCCGCCUGGGGAGUACGGCCGCAAGGCUG
rnacentral:rRNA from 1 species